ensembl:lncRNA
CAACAAAAUCCAGAGCUCAGUGUCCACAUUCAUUUGACCGUGAUACUACAGGGAAGGGAGUGGACGGAUAGAAGUUGUGGUCAAGCCAUCAGCCAGGUCCGCAGUCACCUGAAGGCCAGAGGAUCUCUUCCCGCGUUCACUCACACACUUGUUUCGUGGACUGUUGGAUAAAGGGCUCAGCUACUUGCCAUGUGAAUCUCUCCACAAAGAUGUGUGAGUAUCCUUCAGAAAUGACUGCUGGCUUCCCCAAGAACAAGUGAGAAAGAGAAAGAGAGGGAGAUCGUGGUAUCUUUUAUAACUUAAUUUUGAAGGUCACAUUCCAUCUUUUCUGCUGCAUUCUAUGAGUCACACAAACCAAUCUUGUUGCGAUGUGGGAGGGAACUAUGCCAAGGUGUAAAUAUCAGGAGGCGAGAGUUUUGGGGGCCAUCUUGGAGACUGCCUACUGCAUAUGGGUGGGUUUUAAAGCUUACAAAAAAUUAUUUAAAAAAGAACUUUAAAAAUGAAUAGACUCACACAUCUUCAUUUAUGACAAAAUUAUAUACAGUGUAGUGGGAACAGGACAGUCUUUUUAGUAAGGGACUCUAGGCCAAUAGGAUGUCCAGAUGAAGGAGGAAGGGAAGUGGAAAGGAAAGGAAGCAAAGAAGGACUUGACCCCUACCUCACACACAAGAAGUUAAUUCCAAGUGGAUUAUAGUUUUAAAUAUUAAAUGUAAAACAAUAAACCUUCCAGAAGCAGAUAACAGAAAAAUAUCGGCAUGACCUUGGAGUGUGUGUGUUAGUUAUUCAGUUGUGUCCGACUCUUCGCGACCCCAUGGACUAUAGCCCAGCAGGCUCCUCUGUCCACGGAAUUCUCCAGGCAAGAAUACUGGAGUGGGUUGCCAUGUGCUUUUCCAGGGGAUCUUCCUGACCCGGGGACAGAACCUGCCUCUCCAGCAUUGCAGGCGAAUGGAUAAUUUACCAUCUGAGACACCAGGGAAGCCUGACCUUGGAGUAGGCCACAAAAAAAAAAAAAAAAAAAAAGAGAGAGAGAGAAAGAAGGAAAGAAUACAGACUUAUACAAAGCCAUAAGAAAAAAUAAUGCAAUUGGAUAUGACCCAAUAAACUUGGGUAAGCAAUUUUUCAAAAUUGGUAUUCGAAUAAUCACUUAACAGAAAUGUACUCAAAAACAUAUUUUUAAUACAAUUUA